UACGCAGGGGGCUAGCGUUGCUCGGAAUUACUGGGCGUAAAGGGCGCGUAGGCGGCGAUGUUAGUCAGGCGUGAAAGCCCUGGGCUCAACCUGGGGACUGCGCUUGAUACGGCAUGGCUAGAGGAUGGAAGAGGGUCGCGGAAUUCCCAGUGUAGAGGUGAAAUUCGUAGAUAUUGGGAAGAACACCGGUGGCGAAGGCGGCUCUCUGGACCGAGACUGACGCUGAGGCGCGAAAGCGUGGGGAGCAAACAGG
rnacentral:rRNA from 1 species